UACAGAGGGGGCAAGCGUUGUCCGGAUUGACUGGGCGUAAAGCGCACGCAGGCGGUCGUGCGCGUGGGGUGUGAAAUCUGGCCGCUUAACGGCCAGGCGCCAUCCCAUACGGCACGACUGGAGGGCUGCAGAGGUCGAUGGAAUUGCCGGUGUAGUGGUGAAAUGCGUAGAGAUCGGCAGGAACACCCAGGGGGAAACCAGUCGACUGGGCAGCACCUGACGCUGAGGUGCGAGAGCGUGGGGAGCGAACCGG
rnacentral:rRNA from 1 species